rnacentral:rRNA from 1 species
UAAGCAUAUCAAUAAGCGGAGGAAAAGAAACUAACAAGGAUUCCCCUAGUAACUGCGAGUGAAGCGGGAAAAGCUCAAAUUUAAAAUCUGGCAGUCUUUGAUUGUCCGAGUUGUAGUCUGGAGAAGUGCUUUCCGCGCUGGACCGUGUACAAGUCCCUUGGAACAGGGCGUCAUAGAGGGUGAGAAUCCCGUCUUUGACACGGACUACCAGUGCUUUGUGAUGCGCUCUCAAAGAGUCGAGUUGUUUGGGAAUGCAGCUCAAAAUGGGUGGUAAAUUCCAUCUAAAGCUAAAUACAGGCGAGAGACCGAUAGCGAACAAGUACCGUGAGGGAAAGAUGAAAAGCACUUUGGAAAGAGAGUUAAACAGUACGUGAAAUUGCUGAAAGGGAAACGCUUGAAGUCAGUCGCGUCUUUCGGAAAUCAGCCUUGCAUUUAUUUGUUUGGUGUAUUUUCUGUUUGACGGGCCAACAUCGAUUUUAAUCGUUGGAUAAAGAUAAAGGAAAUGUGGCACCUUCGGGUGUGUUAUAGUCUUUUAUUGCAUACAACGGUCGGGAUCGAGGAACUCAGCACGCCUUUAUUGGUCGGGGUUCGCCCACGUUUCGUGCUUAGGAUGUUGGCAUAAUGGCUUUAAACGACCCGUCUUGAAACACGGACCAAGGAGUCUAACAUACCUGCGAGUGUUUGGGUGUUAAACCCGAGCGCGUAAUUAAAGUAAUAGUUGAGAUCCCCCUUAAAAGGGAGCAUCGACGCCCGGACUUGACCUUUUGUGAUAGCUCUGCGGUAGAGCAUGUAUGUUGGGACCCGAAAGAUGGUGAACUAUGCCUGAAUAGGGUGAAGCCAGAGGAAACUCUGGUGGAGGCUCGUAGCGAUUCUGACGUGCAAAUCGAUCGUCAAAUUUGGGUAUAGGGGCGAAAGACUAAUCGAACCAUCUAGUAGCUGGUUCC